AAUAAGUGUAGUUUUACACUGUUCAUGUCAAAUGUUCGAUUGUUCGUCUUAUUUAAAAUUUUUUUAUGAUUAGUAUUUUUAUUGUUAUUAUAUGAUAAAAACAUGAAUAUUACUUUAUGUGUCUAACUUUUUUAUUUUUUUCAUUAAUUUCUUAAAUAAGACGGACGGUCAACGGAGGGACGGAGGUC
rfam:Oryza rufipogon genomic scaffold, chr01